UAGAAAGUGGUGUAGCGGGAGCACGAAGAUUUUUGAUGUCUUAGGUUGGGGUUCGAGGCCCCUCUUUCUAA
rnacentral:tRNA from 1 species